rnacentral:lncRNA from 1 species
AAAAAGAAAACCCAAAUGGGGAAUUUUCGCUUUAACUUAAAUAAAUAAAUAACAAAACAAACAAACAAACAAAAAAACAGGGCCUCAUUCUGUCACCCAGGCUGGAGUGCAGUGGUGCAGUCAUGGCUCACUGCCACUUCCACCUCCUGAGCUCAGGCCAUUCUCCCACCUCAGCCUCCAGAGAAGCUGGAACCACAGGCACACACCAUCACACUCAGCUAUUUAAAAAAAAUUUUUUUUUUAGUAGAGACGAGGUCUCGCCAUGUUACCCAGGCUGGUCUUGACUUCCUGGGCUCAAGCAAUCCUGCCUCAGCCUCCUGAAGUGCUGGGAUUACAGGUGUGAGCCACCACACCCGGCCCUUGUUUUGAUUCUCAUAAAAGGGAAAUGUAGAUGGCAAACUACACUGUAGUGAGCAAAACCCAGGUGAAUCGUGGAACCAACCAUCUGUGCACCUGUAAAGGAGAAAUGGUGAUUGCAGCCAGCGCUGGUUCUUUACUGUGAGCUGGGCAGGCUGCUGGAGACAGGGCUUGCUUUAGACUCUAGCUUCUCCUCUGCAAGGCAUCUGAGAAAACUCCGUAGCAGCAGGGUGAUAGUAGAGGGAAGUGAACGACCCUGCCCAGACCUAACCUCAGGGUGGUCUCUGGUGACUCGCCACAGCGCCCUGUCUUAUCUUUUGGAUCUUUUUUUAAAUCUGGGUGAUUCAGUUCUCACACUAGUAGCUAAGCAAGGCCAGGAGGGACAGUGGGUACAAUUACAAGGAGAAACCUGGGUCUGUGUAGCCUUAAUCCAGUGGAUCUCAAAGGUAAGUGUGCAGCAGAGGCACCUGGGGCACCUGCUUAAAAUGCACAUUCAUGAGCCCACACAAGAGAUGGAUUCUGGAGGGGAGCCCAGGAAUCUGCAUUCACGAUGCAUGCCAGAGGGUGGCCCCUGGAGGUGAUGAGGUAAUGCACGUAGCUCUCAAACCGCACUUUGGAGACCGCAGCUGCAGAGGAAAAGCCUCCAGGACCGGUGGAGUUGCGGGAGUCCACCGAAGGUGGGAGGAGGAUGAGGGGUCAGUUCUGACCACUAGAACUGACCAGUGAGGGCAGGACAAGUCAUGAGGGAGUAGCCUCCUGUUACCAACUGGGGCGACAAGUGCUUGCAGGGCAUGCAGUGGGGCCUCCUGCACU